rnacentral:rRNA from 1 species
UGGGGAAUUUUGGACAAUGGGGGAAACCCUGAUCCAGCCAUCCCGCGUGUGCGAUGAAGGCCUUCGGGUUGUAAAGCACUUUUGGCAGGAAAGAAACGUCGCGGGUUAAUACCCCGCGGAACUGACGGUACCUGCAGAAUAAGCACCGGCUAACUACGUGCCAGCAGCCGCGGUAAUACGUAGGGUGCAAGCGUUAAUCGGAAUUACUGGGCGUAAAGCGUGCGCAGGCGGUUCGGAAAGAAAGAUGUGAAAUCCCAGAGCUUAACUUUGGAACUGCAUUUUUAACUACCGGGCUAGAGUGUGUCAGAGGGAGGUGGAAUUCCGCGUGUAGCAGUGAAAUGCGUAGAUAUGCGGAGGAACACCGAUGGCGAAGGCAGCCUCCUGGGAUAACACUGACGCUCAUGCACGAAAGUGUGGGGAGCAAACAGGAUUAGAUACCCUGGUAGUCCACGCCCUAAACGAUGUCAACUAGCUGUUGGGGUCUUCGGACCUUGGUAGCGCAGCUAACGCGUGAAGUUGACCGCCUGGGGAGU